rnacentral:rRNA from 1 species
CGUAGCUAACGCGUGAAGUUGACCGCCUGGGAGUACGGUCGCAAGAUUAAAACUCAAAGGAAUUGACGGGGACCCGCACAAGCGGUGGAUGAUGUGGAUUAAUUCGAUGCAACGCGAAAAACCUUACCUACCCUUGACANGCCNCUAACGAAGCAGAGAUGCAUUAGGUGCUCGAAAGAGAAAGUGGACACAGGUGCUGCAUGGCUGUCGUCAGCUCGUGUCGUGAGAUGUUGGGUUAAGUCCCGCAACGAGCGCAACCCUUGUCUCUAGUUGCUACGAAAGGGCACUCUAGAGAGACUGCCGGUGACAAACCGGAGGAAGGUGGGGAUGACGUCAAGUCCUCAUGGCCCUUAUGGGUAGGGCUUCACACGUCAUACAAUGGUGCAUACAGAGGGUUGCCAAGCCGCGAGGUGGAGCUAAUCCCAGAAAAUGCAUCGUAGUCCGGAUCGUAGUCUGCAACUCGACUACGUGAAGCUGGAAUCGCUAGUAAUCGCGGAUCAGCAUGCCGCGGUGAAUACGU